AACAGCAGCUCAGUUGACAUUUUGAGCCACAUAAUUCUGUUUCGGGAGGUCUCACCUGUGCAUUGAAGCAAGUUCAGUGGCAUACCUGGACUCCACCCACCAGCAAUCCCCCCACUCCCAAGUUGUGACAGUCAAGAUGUCUCCAGACAUUGCCGAUGUCCCCAUGGGGGCAAAAAUCACCCCAGUUGAAAGCCAGUGGGC
rnacentral:lncRNA from 1 species